CUUUUUAUGGGGUUUUCCUGAUUUUCCAGGGGUGGGGACAGACACAGGGACACGGGGACAGCGGGAUCUGGGAAUAUCGGGAUCUGGGAAUAUCGGGAUUUGGGGACAUCGGGAUUUGGGGACACGGGGACAGCAGGAUUUACACCGGGACAGGGAUUGUUCCCAGGAUGGGGACAGGGGGUUUGGGGACACUGGGAUUUGGGAAUAUCGGGAUCUGGGAAUAUCGGGAUUUGGGAAUAUCGGGAUCUGGGGACACCAGGCCUCCAGGGCCUGCCAGGCCGCAGGGACAAGGACACAUUUGGGGACAUCGGGAUUUGGGGACAUCGGGAUUUGCACGUCCGGAGGCUCCAGGACAUCGGGAUUUACACCGGGAUUUGGGAAUAUCGGGAUGGGGACACAGGGACACCGGGAUUUGGGGAUGGGGACACAGGGACACCGGGAUUUGGGAAUAUCGGGAUGGGGACACAGGGACACCGGGAUUUGGGGAUGGGGACACAGGGACACCGGGAUUUGCACCGGGAUUUGGGAACUCCAGGCCUCCAGGCCCUGCCAGGCCGCAGGCGCGGGGACAAGGACACAUUUGGGGACAUCGGGAUUUGCACGUCCCGAGGCUCCAGGACAUCGGGAUUUACACCGGGAUGGGGACGCUGGGAUGGGGACAGGGGGCUGGGGACACCGGGAUUGGGAAAUAUCGGGAUUUGGGGACAUCGGGGACACGGAGCCCCAGGCCUGGCAGCGGCGAUGGCGCAGCCACAAGGACACGGGGACAUCGGGGCCUGGGGACAUCGGGGUUUGGGGACAUCGGGGUCUGGGGACAUCGGGGUUUGGGGACAUCGGGGUCUGGGGACAUCGGGAUUUGGGGACAUCGGGAUUUGGGGCCACGGGGACAUUGGGAUUCGGGACCUCAAGGACAUCGGGAUUUGCAGGGCCCGGCGGCGCUGCUGGCGCGGGGCCGAGGCGGCAGCGACACGCGGGGGACACUCGUGACACGCAGGGGACACUUGGGACACGCAGGGGACACACGGGGGACACUCGUGACACACUCGGGGACACUCGUGACACACUCGGGGACACUUGGGACACUCAGGGGACACACAGGGGACAAUCGUGACACACUUGGGGACACACAGGGGACAAUCGUGACCAGCGUGACACGCUCAGGUGACGCAGGAGCCUCAGCACGGCCGGGGGUGGGGGUGGGGAGGGGCCCGGGAUGUCCCUGAGAGUGUCCCUGGCACACCUGGGCACACCUGGGGACACCUGGGGACACCUGGGGACACCUGGGGGACACCUGGGGACACCUGGGGACACCUGGGGACACCUGGGGGACACCUGGGGACCCCUGGGGACAUCUGGGGGACACCUGGGGGACACCUGGGCACACCCGGCCCUUGCACGCCCGCCCCACCCUUGGCGCGCUCUGUUCCAGCACCUUCCACGCCCGUCCCUUGCACGCCCCUGCAGCAG
rnacentral:lncRNA from 1 species